rnacentral:rRNA from 1 species
AGUGAACGCUGGCGGUAGGCCUAACACAUGCAAGUCGAACGGCAGCACAGUAAGAGCUUGCUCUUACGGGUGGCGAGUGGCGGACGGGUGAGGAAUACAUCGGAAUCUACUUUUUCGUGGGGGAUAACGUAGGGAAACUUACGCUAAUACCGCAUACGACCUACGGGUGAAAGCAGGGGAUCUUCGGACCUUGCGCGAUUGAAUGAGCCGAUGUCGGAUUAGCUAGUUGGCGGGGUAAAGGCCCACCAAGGCGACGAUCCGUAGCGGGGCUGAGAGGAGGGUCGGCCACAUUGAAACUGAGACACGUCCCAAACCCCAAGGGGAGGCGGAGGUGGGAAAUAUGGGAAAAUGGGCGAAGGCCUGCUCCAGCAAUACCGCGUGGGUGAAGAAGGCCUUCGGGUUGUAAAGCCUUUUUGUUGGGAAAAAAAGGCAGCAGGUUAAUACCCCGCUGUUCGGACGGUACCAAAAGAAUAAGAACCGGCUAACUCCGU